ACAUGUUCAUAACCGCAUCCAGCUAUCGGUGAUACAAAAAGCAAAUAAUUCUCAAGCAUGCGGUCCUCUUCUUAAGCAGUCAUUCAUCAUCGUCGUUGGACAAGUGCAAAAAGAAAAGAAGAAACCGCGAAAUCUUCGAUCUUAAGCGUUGAGCACGCGCGUUACAAAGUAAUAAUUCGGUAAAUACAAGGAGCGUGUAGAACCGGUGUUAAUUGCGCAUGCUCGGACUGGCGCACAUGCGCGUCAACAAAACGUCAUGUUAAAAAGUGCACGUGUUACAUAUUUUUGUUAAGAAAGACAGAUCUUAAUUAACUGUACAAUGGAAGGAAUCAUAAUAAGUUAAUCAGUUAACCUAUGGCCAUAUAUUCGUCGGAACUGCUGUUUUUCGUGCCACGAUUCGUAAGACCAGACAGAUGAGGAGCGAAAGAAAGAAGAAGGUCCAUAGACUGUGAAGAUGUAACCUGUUCCAGUUUCCAGGAUCAUCCUGCACUACUACUGUAUAUUCGAGAAAUUGAAUCUGCUGAAAUGUAACACGAGAAUCAGUAUGCGAUUAUCGAAGACUGUGUCAAGUGUCUGCUGGAUCUGGAUAUUCCGACCACUAGACAUUGAUUCUUCAGAUGGUUAUCUUUCAGAAAACCCGUGAGAAUAGGUCGUUCAAUAGCAACGUGCAAGAAAUCCUUCGACAAUCCCAUACACGAAAAACAGAAGAAAUCGUCCCCGACAAAAGAUACAGAAGCACCGAACCAUUCAGGAAGCCAGUAACCACACUCCGUCCAAUUACCACUGGAUAACUCGUUGGUAGCCCCAUCCUGAUUUAUCACCGACAUGGUUAAUCGCAUCUCGCCGUGGAGGCCCAAUUAAAACGACCAAACAAACCGAUUAAAAGAAGAAAAAAAAAAAGAAAAAAAAGGGACGAAAAAGAAGGCAGCAACCAAAGAAACAAACAUCCAUACAGGGUGUUGAUAUAUUCGUGGAACAUCUUUGGAGAGUCGAUUAUUAAAGUAAAUACAAAAGUUUGUGGUUGAUUUAUAAGCAAUUGAAAUUUGUAUAAGAUAAAGGAAGAUAGAAUAAAAUAAAUAAAAAAAUUUACCA